rnacentral:misc_RNA from 1 species
GAUGAAGAACGCAGCGAAUUGCGAUAUGUAAUGUGAAUUGCAGAAUUCAGUGAAUCAUCGAAUCUUUGAACGCACCUUGCACCCUCUGGUAUUCCGGAGGGUAUGCCUGUUUGAGUGUCAUUAACAUCUCAACGCUUGAUGGGUUCUUGUAACCCGUUCAGUGGUUGGACUUUGAAGGUUGCCGGUGUCAAAGCCAGCUCCUUUUUAAAUGCAUGAGCAAGGACUAUUCCGAAUCGGCUUCGGUUUGAUAAAUUUGACUUAUCUGAUGCCGUCGCUGAGGAACUAUGGUCGACCUGCUUCUAAUUGUCUUCGGACUGUCUCCUUGUGAGGCAACUAUAUUGACUCUUGACCUCAAAUCAGGUAGGACUACCCGCUGAACUUAAGCAUAUCAAUAAGCGGAGGA